GAGAGUUCAAGAGGGCGUGAAACCGCUGAGAAGGAAACGGAUAGAGUUAACGAAACUUGAUGGCAUUCAUCCGACUAAUGCUACUACUGGCUGGAUGGCUGUACUACUGGCGUAACAACCAGUAGCAACUGUAUGGCUUGACCGGUAGUGUUUGGUUGGUGCUUUUGCCGUCGGUAUGUGCCGAGAGGUUCGCCGUGGUGCGCUAAAGUUUAAGCAAAGAGGACCGGGCAUCUCGUUAUGCUUGGAAACCUUUGCAUAGCGGUAGGCGUAUCCGCCUGGUGAAUCGUUGUUCGCUUCUGUGAUGCACAUGCAAGUAUGCGCAACGGUUAUCGCGUGGUUAACAUGAUUGUUGAGCGGUCGCAUGCUACUUGCUUACAGUUGGUGUUGGCUCGUCUGAUGAUGCGGUUGCGUCCAGUUGCAUCACAUCUCGGUAUGAAAGUUGACCACCUAUCCGACCCGUCUUGAAACACGGACCAAGGAGUUUAGCAUAUGCGCAAGUCAUUGGGUGGUAAACCUAAAGGCGAAAUGAAAGUAAAGAUUGCUUUAGUGCAGUUGAUAUGGGAUCUGUGUGGUUACGGCCACUGCAGCGCACCAUAGCCCCGUCUUUGUUGCUUGCAAUAGGGCGGAGGUAGAGCGCAUACGCUGAGACCCGAAAGAUGGUGAACUAUGCCUGAGCAGGAUGAAGCCAGAGGAAACUCUGGUGGAAGUCCGAAGCGGUUCUGACGUGCAAAUCGAU
rnacentral:rRNA from 1 species